GUGCUCGCUUCGGCAGCACAUAUAUUAAAUUGGAAUGAUACAGAGAAGAUUAGCAUGGCCCCUGCACAAGGAUGACACCCAAAUUCGUGAAGCAUUCCAUAUUAAA
rnacentral:snRNA from 1 species